rnacentral:rRNA from 1 species
GGGACAAACGCUGGCGGCGUGCAUAACACAUGCAAGUCGAACGAGGGUAGCAAUACUCGAGUGGCGGACGGGUGAGGAACACGUGGAUAACCGACCAUGUACUGGGGAAUACCCGUGGGAAACCACGGCUAAUACCGCAUACGUUCAGAGAUGAAGAAAGCCUUCGGGCGGUAGAUGACGGGUCUGCGGUCGAUUAGCUAGUUGGUGCGGUAACGGCCUACCAAGGCCGACGACGGGUAGCC